GGCCAUCGGCAGCCCCUUCUCCUUCAGAACACGGUCACCACAGGUAUUGUCAGCACCACCCAAAGAGGAGGCAAGGAGCUGGCCCUGAGGAACUCUGAUAUGGACAUCCAGACGGACGCUAUCAUCAACGAAGGAAGUGUAGAUCUACCAUCUGAUCAUCCCUUUAACCUGAAUGCUGUUCCUUUUCAGUAUGGGAACUCUGGCGGACCCUGGUCAAUCUGGACGGAGAGGUGAUUGGGAUCAACACACUGAAGGUGACAGCAGGAAUCUCCUUCGCCAUCCCCUCAGACAAGAUCCGUCAGUUCUUGGCA